GUUGGGACUCACCUACAGUGAACUCUCAGAUCAUCAAGAGUAUGUUUGAUAUUUGUAAAAAGAAUUAAUUAUAAUGAAACAUUGAACAGUACUGGUAAAAAAAAAAUCACAUUUUAAAAACUCCUUUUAUAGAUGUGAAAGAUGCAUGGGAGGGGAAACGUAUGCGUGUACUUGAAUCGAGGAUUGGGCCCUUAAAAAUAUUGUAUAAAGACAUUUUCUCCACUGCACCAAAGAGACCAGUAACAGAUGAGGUGAGGUGUCAAUUUCCUAUUUUUUUUAAAAUGGUUUUCCUACCGACUUUUCAGUUAAAUCUUACCUUUUCGACCUUACCAAUCGAUUUUAAUCUGGUGUUUUUAUGACAGGUAAACGCAUAUCUGACCCUCCUGGUCAAAGAAUUUAAUAAGGAUGGUCCAGAGAAGGCAUUUCCACUGGACUCGGUGAGGAUGAAGACUAUAUGGCAGCACAAAAGUCCAACAAAAACUCAGAUCGACCUGGAGGUCUUCAAGUACAUUGUGGGGGUCUACAAUGAAGGUCAUCACUGGAUGCUCGUGGUAAUAGUUUCUUCAACUUGAUGGUCAUCUUCUAAGCAGCACAUGCAGUCUGCACAGUGCUGCUGGAAACCUACACAGCUGCUAGUGCAGUAUGAUUAACUUUGACUCUAAAAUAUGUAGGUGAUUAAACCAGGAGAGAGGAGAACCCUGUUCAUGGAUCCACUGGGGGAACAUGGAGAAGAUGCAGCACUGCAAGAACGUGACGAGUUUGCUGAGUGCAUUUUGGACGGUUCUCCGCUGGAGUUUCAUGAAUCACCUUCCAGCUUUAAUGCGAUUCGACGGGAGAUUGCAGUCUGUCUUCUGGAGAAUACAGGUGUCUCUUAAAAAUAUUAUACAUAUGUUGCGUGUGGCCAUGACAUCACUCACUUACUCAUUCAAUCACUGUGCUGUGCCUGAACUGGCACUGGUGUCCUCUUAUGUUGAGGUCUCCAAUUUGAGCCACUGAUUCAUUAAUUUAAUUGUUUGGAGGCUGUAACAACAUAUCAUUUUAGACUGGAAACGUGUUUGAUGUACAUAUUUUCAAAACUGUCCAAAUGCUCAAAUUAACUAUGAUAGUGUUAACUCACACAAACCUUGCUCAUUAUGAGGUAAUUAUUAUCUCCUUGUUUUUGUAGAUGACUUGACUGACCUUUGUCAUCUCUGCAGGAUGGCGACACUCACUGAGUAACUGCUGAUGUUUUACAUGUUCAGCUUAAAGGAUGAUCACCACAAGGCAACAUUACAUCACUAUCUCACCAUAAUAGUUUAGUUUUGUCUUUUGUCCAUUCAGAUUGGCUGCUGUGCCCUCGAUGGUUUCACAGGAGCUGUGCCAAGAGACCCGACACAGAGGAUGCAAAAAUGUUUCUGCCUCGCAUGCCA
rnacentral:lncRNA from 1 species